rnacentral:lncRNA from 1 species
AUAAUGUUAUCGAACUUUUAUUAUAUUUGUUUUGUUAAAAUACUACGUAUGGUUAUAAAAACAUAGUAAGUAUAAAUAUAUGUAUAUUUCUCAGAAAUCCUUUAAAAAACAGGUAACUUUUCAUGCAUUAUUAUUUUUAAACAUUUUAAUUAUAUGCCAAAUAAAUACAUUUUUAACCAACCUUAGCUUCAAUAACAUAUACACUAAAAAAUUUGUAUAUAAAACAUUUUGCCAUCUGACUUCAAAUUAGCAGGUCUGAACUGAGGAUAAUAUUAAAAUUGACAUUCCAGUUAAUCCAGGAAACAGAGGAGGCCUUAGGUAUUGCAUCAGGAGUUAGGAGAGUCAGAGUUAUAACAAAGAAGAUCGUGUGGCUCCUUUGAAGAAAAAGUGAGAAUAAGCAGCAAGAUUAAAGCCAUAAAAAACUAGAAUAAUGAUUGACUCAAUUUUGAUGAACUGAAAAGGCUAUGGAUAACAAGAGUUCCAGAACUUCCUUUUCUAUGAAGUCCUGUGCCUGCUCAUUGAAAAACAAUGAAUCAGUCUAGACUUGCAAGACGAAAUAAUUCCCUCAAAGCUGGACAUUUAUAUAUUAUUUAUGUAGCAUAUUUCAAUAUUGAUGGUAUAGCCUCAUAUACAGUUGAUUGUAAAACCAUUCUUUCUGUUAGAGUAGGUAGGCAGACAUGAGCAGGGCAGGAGAAGCCCACCCACACAUACCAGGAAUGUCAAGAGAGCAUCAGGUGAUGGUCAGGCAGCUGUUAAACUGCCUCUCUAACAUAAUAAUUGAUUCCAGCUGGUACCGGUGAAAGGCAGUCUCCCAACAGAUAGAAAACACCUGAAGCUGGUGAUCAGCAGCUUUAGAAAACACGGGAAGCUGGUGAUCAGCAGCUUCCAGAUAAGAUCUCAGCACUCUAAGAGACAAGAUGGUGGAAUUUAACUAGUAUAUGACCUUUCUUUAGGAACGCUCAACUGGUAUCCAGAUGCAGAAGUCUUACUUCCUGCUUUUCUAUGACAUCAUCCUUCAGAAGGCGGGGCAUAGGCAAGAACAUGAUAAAGCACUUCUCCUUCCUGCCAUCAUGUGAAGAAGGAUGUGUUUGCUUCCCCUUCUGCCAGGAUUGUACGUUUCCUGAAGCCUCCCCAGCCUGCAGAACGAUGUAAUGGAAGCAGCUUGAUGAGGCCGUGGGGAUAUCAGCAAGGACCAACUCUCUCUCUGCACAGUAAGAAGAUGGCACUUAAUGUUAUCCUUGAGAAAUGGAUGUUUUCCAGAAGAAACAAUAUGUGCAAAGACUCAGAAAAUUAAAACUUACAGCUAUUCAAGGACAGUGUGAUAGUAAAUGGCAGGAGAUAAGAUUAUAAAAAUUGGUUAGAGAUGAAUAUGAUGGCAGGUACUUUUGACAAUUUUAUUUUAUAACAUAUAGGUACAAAAGAAGAAUGUGAACAAAGAGAUCAACACAUUAGAUUUAAAUGAUGGGUAUAAGAAAUUGUCAUUCUGCUAAAAGGAAAGAGUGAAAAAUGAGCAACAUACAAGCAAUUGCAUAUUUCAAGUAAAUAUUCUAAGCUACUAGCUGUAGCAGUCAAGGACAAUUGAAUUUCUAAACCUCUAAAGAAUAGUAUGUCAUUUAAAAAGUUAGAAGGAGGUUGUUUGCAAAGGAUUUUUUUUUGUUUUGUUUUAUAUUAGUAAAAAGAGUAGGACUUAGGGAACAAAACUCUUAAAUAUCUUAAGUCCAAAUAAAACUAGAUUAAGUUAAAUCCAUAUUGUGCAGAAAUGCUAGAAAGAGUA